rnacentral:lncRNA from 1 species
AAUGGUCACCACUUAGUAACAACAUUAAAUCCUGCCUUUCAAGAGUCAAAAGGACUGGAAUCUGCUUCUAAGAUAUUUAGUAAUCUACUGGAAAAGUUUGCCACCAGUUCUAACUUUAUCCCAAGUUUUCUGCUCUGACGAUAUUUGAUGAGGAAAUUACCUGCUACAAGGAGAUGUUUAAAAAUCACAGACAGGAUUAUGUGGAAGAGGAGUAAAAUUUCUGCACAAAGUGUGAAGAAAUUUGUCUUCUUUAAGAAAAAUAUAAAGAAAGAGCAAUUGGUUGUCUUGGCAUUUACAGCAGAAAUUAGAUUUCACAAUGCUCUUAAAAUAAGGGUCCAAAUCUGCAUGGUGACAAACUACAUGAGAUCUGAUAAAUCUCUCCUCUUCAUGAGAGUCAUGACUAUAAAACAGUCUUCAUUUGUGUUUGCAGCCCACUGCUUAGUGUCAUCCAUGUUUAUUGCUGAAGUUUUGCCAAAAGAACACCCUGCAGUUCUCCAGGCUUCAGAAGUGUUGCCUGUCAGAAAAGCCAGUGGAAUUCUUUAACAAUAACUGGACUUGCCUUCAGCCAGCAUAAGCCUCGUUCUUCCUAAACAGAUGGAUGUUUCACAGAGGGGCAAAUGAAAGCACCUCUAUGAAGCACCUGAGACUCCUCUGUCACCCAGGAAGCCCUUGGGUAUUUGCCUAGAGACAGAGAUUGUGAAUCUGAAGCUGAUACCUCUUUAGUCACUGAGAGUGGAUUUGGGAUUUUAUGUGCUGCUUGUACAAUGGUAAAACUGGGACUAUCACCAUAAAUAUUUCUGUUUGUUUAAGUUAAAGAAUGGAUGUGAUACACUUUAUGAAAACACACCAGUGACUGCAGGCAGUUUAAAAUGGUCUUAUGAGUUACAAGAGGCUUCUCAGGCAUGGAACACAUUUUCAGCACAUCAAUUCUCUGUAAGUAUUGCUGUAAAACAUUGUACAAUGAGGCUUAAAACACUUCAGGCACUUUCUGAAGUUAUAGCCACAUUGUGCACUUAGAAAUGACAUUGAGAUGAAAUCUCUUUUGUCUCUGUAGAGUUUUGCAGAUGGGGAAACAAACUGUGUUUUGCAAAAAUAUGAAUAUUGGAAUAAAUGUAUUAAUAUAAUGAAGAAAUGGACCUCU